GAGACCACUGAAUAUUUUGGAGUUUCUACA
rnacentral:piRNA from 1 species